rnacentral:sRNA from 1 species
CCUGUGGAGUGUUAUAUCAAACGAGAGUAGUAGUCACGCAGCGAAAUCGGACACGACGAAGCAGGAA